AUAGCGCCAUACGGACGCCCGUGUCCGUAGGGUCGCAUCCCUUCCCCUUUACGAACGCCUGUGUCCAAUACAGGCGCCUCUUCCUUCGUCGGUGCUCUCUCGGGGCACCCCUCUACUUGUAUAUAUACCCAAUUGAUCAAUGGAAAGAAUAGACUCAUUCAUUCAAUCAAUCACUUAUCGUUUUUACACUAACACGUUAUCAGUACUUUGCUCUCCGAAGAGCGAGAAGGCCAAGCAACUCGCGGCGCUCUGCGCCUCCGCCCGCGGCCGCACCAUGGCCUCCGCACCGCCGUCCGCCCGGCCGCUGCCUUGCGCUCAGCCGCGCCGCGCCCGUGGCAUCUUCCGGAGCCCCGUCCUCCCAGUUGCCAAACUCUUCGCCGGUACGGGUCCUCACGACGUCCGACGCCACGAGUGCAGAGGAGACGUCGGCCCCGACGCUGCUCCUCUCGAGACGGCACUGCGCCCGUUCGGCCGGCCGCCCGCGGCCGCGCCUCGGCCCCUGCGCCGUCGGCCGUGCCCCUCGCCCGGCCUCAGCGCCGCACCCCCAUCCUCAACCUCAACACCUCCAUGAGCGUGCCGAUCGAGGACGAGGCGUCGUCCUCCGAGUCACCGCGCCCCCCGGCCCCAACGCCACCGCGCCUCCCGGCCCCGCUUCGCCGCCGCCUCCGCCAACAGCAAGCCCGCUGCCUCCACCGCCUUCUGCUCAGGCGCCUAGGGCCCAGCCGGCCUCAACCUCCCCGGCUACACUGCGGAGGAGGACGGCCCCUCCUAGAGCUCGCCGGCGCCGGGCUCGGGCGGCCACUGUCGUCAGGAUCAGGUGGGGAGUGGAGAGGCGGAGAGGCAGGGAUGCGGUCAAACACGACCGCGCCCCCUCCACUCGCUCUCUUAUCCAUCCGCUAGAUUAAGCGGCGGCCGGCCUGGGCCUGGGCCGAAAGACCAAGUGGGCUGCAUCCCACUUCAGAAAAAACACGGGCAUAGGCUAAUUUGCAAAAAAAAAUGCAUUAGCCCAACUAUCUAUACUAUUUAGUAUUUAUCAAGUUUUAGCCCUGUAUAUUUGUAAUUUUAUAAUAUAGAUCCAACUACUGGUGCUGUAAUAAGUACUUGUCAUGUUUAGAUUCUAUAUUUAUGCUUUUGAAGUUGUAC
rnacentral:rRNA from 1 species